rnacentral:rRNA from 1 species
CAUUCAGUUGGGCACUCUAAGGGGACUGCCGGUGAUAAGCCGAGAGGAAGGUGGGGAUGACGUCAAUUCCUCAUGGCCCUUACGGGCUGGGCUACACACGUGCUACAAUGGUGGUGACAGUGGGCAGCGAGACCGCGAGGUCAAGCUAAUCUCCAAAAGCCAUCUCAGUUCGGAUUGCACUCUGCAACUCGAGUGCAUGAAGUUGGAAUCGCUAGUAAUCGCGGAUCAGCAUGCCGCGGUGAAUACGUUCCCGGGCCUUGUACACACCGCCCGUCACACCAUGGGAGUUGGUUUUACCCGAAGGCGCUGUGCUAACCGCAAGGAGGCAUGCGACCACGGUAGGGUCAGCGACUGGGGUGAAGUCGUAACAAGGUAGCCGUAGGGGAACCUGCGGCUGGAUCACCUC